AGGGAAAACGAAAUGUAUGAGUGA
rnacentral:siRNA from 1 species